rnacentral:rRNA from 1 species
GACGAACGCUGGCGGCGUGCCUAAUACAUGCAAGUAGAACGCACAGUUUAUACCGUAGCUUGCUACACCAUAAACUGUGAGUUGCGAACGGGUGAGUAACGCGUAGGUAACCUGCCUGGUAGCGGGGGAUAACUAUUGGAAACGAUAGCUAAUACCGCAUAAUAUUGAUUAUUGCAUGAUAAUUGAUUGAAAGAUGCUAUUGCAUCACUACCAGAUGGACUUGCGUUGUAUUAGCUAGUAGGUGAGGUAACGGCUCACCUAGGCGACGAUACAUAGCCGACCUGAGAGGGUGGUCGGCCACACUGGGACUGAGACACGGCCCAGACUCCUACGGGAGGCAGCAGUAGGGAAUCUUCAGCAAUGGACGAAAGUCUGACCGAGCAACGCCGCGUGAGUGAAGAAGGUUUUCGGAUCGUAAAGCUCUGUUGUAAGAGAAGAACGGGUGUGAGAGUGGAAAGUUCACACUGUGACGGUAUCUUACCAGAAAGGGACGGCUAACUACGUG